rnacentral:rRNA from 1 species
CGAUUUUGCAGUGAAGUGAAUUCCACCCGAACCCAUAUCGAACUCGACAGUGAACGCUCUUCACGCCAUAUGUACUGCUCUUUUGCGGGAGACGUGGUAAAGGUCGAGUG